rnacentral:lncRNA from 1 species
GGAAUAAUUAAAGAUUACCUCGUCUUUUAGGUACCUUCCUAGUUGAGCGCGAAAUCCUAGGGGCUAACGUCUAAUUCAAUUUUAUUAAAAGGCUAGGGAAUGCAAAAUGAAGAAUUAAGUCGUUGUGGGCCAAGGAAAGAGAGAUGAAAUCCCUUCCCUUAUCUUGUGAGUGGGUUUUGCCCUUAAGAUUUAUUUAAAAUGAUGCACCACACAACG